rnacentral:rRNA from 1 species
UGAGGAAUAUUGGUCAAUGGGCGGAAGCCUGAACCAGCCAAGUCGCGUGAGGGAAGACGGUCCUAUGGAUUGUAAACCUCUUUUGCAGGGGAGCAAGACGCGGUACGUGUACCGUGCUGGAGAGUACCCUGAGAAAAAGGCAUCGGCUAACUCCGUGCCAGCAGCCGCGGUAAUACGGAGGAUGCGAGCGUUAUCCGGAUUUAUUGGGUUUAAACGGGUGCGUAGGCGGACUGGUAAGUCAGCGGUAAAAAUUGCGGUGCUCAACGCCGUAGUGCCGUUGAAACUGCCGGUCUUGAGUGAGCGAGAAGUAUGCGGAAUGCGUGGUGUAGCGGUGAAAUGCAUAGAUAUCACGCAGAACUCCGAUUGCGAAGGCAGCAUACCGGCGCUCAACUGACGCUGAGGCACGAAAGCGUGGGGGAGUCGAACAGGAUUAGAUACC